UACGGGGGGGGCAAGCGUUGUUCGGAAUUACUGGGCGUAAAGGGCGCGUAGGCGGCCUGCUAAGUCGGAUGUGAAAUCCCUCGGCUCAACCGAGGAACUGCAUCCGAUACUGGCGGGCUUGAAUCCGGGAGAGGGAUGUGGAAUUCCCGGUGUAGCGGUGAAAUGCGUAGAGAUCGGGAGGAAUACCGGUGGCGAAAGCGACUCUCUGGACGGCAACUGACGCUGAGGCACGAAAGCGUGGGGAGCAAACAGG
rnacentral:rRNA from 1 species